CUGAUGCGUUGUUGGGUAGGGGAGCGUUCUGUAAGCCUGCGAAGGUGGCCUGUGAGGGUUGCUGGAGGUAUCAGAAGUGCGAAUGCUGACAUAAGUAACGAUAAAGCGGGUGAAAAGCCCGCUCGCCGGAAGACCAAGGGUUCCUGUCCAACGUUAAUCGGGGCAGGGUGAGUCGACCCCUAAGGCGAGGCCGAAAGGCGUAGUCGAUGGGAAACGGGUUAAUAUUCCCGUACUUGGUGUUACUGCGAAGGGGGGACGGAGAAGGCUAUGUUGGCCGGGCGACGGUUGUCCCGGUUUAAGCGUGUAGGUGUGUGUUCCAGGUAAAUCCGGUUCACUUUAACACUGAGGCGUGACGACGAGGCACUACGGUGCUGAAGCAACAAAUGCCCUGCUUCCAGGAAAAGCCUCUAAGCAUCAGGUAACAUCAAAUCGUACCCCAAACCGACACAGGUGGUCAGGUAGAGAAUACCAAGGCGCUUGAGAGAACUCGGGUGAAGGAACUAGGCAAAAUGGUGCCGUAA
rnacentral:rRNA from 1 species